rnacentral:rRNA from 1 species
UACGGAGGGGGCUAGCGUUGUUCGGAAUUACUGGGCGUAAAGCGCGCGCAGGCGGUUGUGUAAGACAGAUGUGAAAUCCCCGGGCUCAACCUGGGAACUGCAUUUGUGACUGCACAGCUGGAGUGCGGCAGAGGGGGAUGGAAUUCCGCGUGUAGCAGUGAAAUGCGUAGAGAUGUGGAGGAACACCGAUGGCGAAGGCAGCCUCCUGGGCCAACACUGACGCUCAUGCACGAAAGCGUGGGGAGCAAACAGG